UGGGGAAUCUUGCACAAUGGGCGAAAGCCUGAUGCAGCGACGCCGCGUGCGGGACGAAGGCCUUCGGGUUGUAAACCGCUUUCAGCAGGGACGAGGCGAAAGUGACGGUACCUGCAGAAGAAGCCCCGGCUAACUACGUGCCAGCAGCCGCGGUAAUACGUAGGGGGCAAGCGUUAUCCGGAUUCAUUGGGCGGAAAGCGCUCGUAGGCGGUCUGUUAGGUCGGGAGUUAAAUCCGGAGGCUCAACCUCCGUUCGCUCCCGAUACCGGCAGACUUGAGUUUGGUAGGGGAAGGUGGAAUUCCUAGUGUAGCGGUGGAAUGCGCAGAUAUUAGGAAGAACACCAGUGGCGAAGGCGGCCUUCUGGGCCAUAACUGACGCUGAGGAGCGAAAGCUAGGGGAGCAAACA
rnacentral:rRNA from 1 species